UACGGAAGGCAGCAGUGGGGAAUAUUGCACAAUGGGCGCAAGCCUGAUGCAGCCAUGCCGCGUGUAUGAAAAAGGCCUUCGGGUUGUAAAGUACUUUCAGUCGUGAGGAAGGUGUUAAGGUUAAUAACCUUAGCAAUUGACGUUAGCGACAGAAGAAGCACCGGCUAACUCCGUGCCAGCAGCCGCGGUAAUACGGAGGGUGCGAGCGUUAAUCGGAAUUACUGGGCGUAAAGGGCACGCAGGCGGUUAAUUAAGUUGGAUGUGAAAUCCCCGGGCUUAACCUGGGAAUGGCAUUCAAGCUGGUUAGCUAGAGUCUUGUAGAGGGGGUAGAAUUCCAUGUGUAGCGGUGAAAUGCGUAGAGAUGUGGAGGAAUACCGGUGGCGAAGGCGGCCCCUGGACAAAGACUGACGCUCAUGUGCGAAAGCGUGGGGAGCAAACAGGGAUUAGAUA
rnacentral:rRNA from 1 species